CAAAGUUCUUCUCCUCUUCUCCCAAUUCAAUCGUACAACAGGUUUUCACUUCAUCUCUUCACUUCAUUCCAUCAUCUCUUCACUUCAUCUCUCAGCUGCCCAGAUCUUUCACCUGAAUGAGGCAGAGCACAUGAAUGAUGGUGGAAGUGGAAGUUAUGAUGAAGAUUUUCAUGAUUAUUGAAUUCGAAGUUUUAUUUAUGUUUAUAUUUCUUGCAAGUAUGUUCUUAUGUUUUGCCUAAGACAUGUUUUAUU
rnacentral:lncRNA from 1 species